rnacentral:rRNA from 1 species
CAUGAAGCUGGAAUCGCUAGUAAUCGCGGAUCAGAAUGCCGCGGUGAAUACGUUCCCGGGUCUUGUACACACCGCCCGUCACACCAUGAGAGUCGAUAACACCCGAAGCCUGUAGUCUAACAGCAAUGAGGACGCAGUCGAAGGUGGGAUUGAUAAUUAGGGUGAAGUCGUAACAAGGUAGC